GGCUUGUGGCUCAGAGGUAGAGCACUCAACUAGCACUUGCAAGGCCCUGGGUUCGAUCCUCAACACUA
rnacentral:tRNA from 1 species